CAGCGCCACAAGUGGCAAUCGUAUUUAUUUGGCCUAAAGCGUCCGUAGCUGGUUAAGUAAAUCUCUUGUGAAAUUGUUUGGCUUAACCAAACAGCGUGCAGGAGAGACCGCUUAGCUAGGGACCGGGAGGAGUCGGAGGUAUGCUGGGGGGAGCGGUAAAAUGCAAUAAUCCUCGGUAGACCACCUGUGGCGAAGGCGUCUGACUAGAACGGGUCCGACAGUGAGGGACGAAAGCCAGGGGAGCGAACCGGAUUAGAGACCCGUGUAGUCC
rnacentral:rRNA from 1 species